AUACGUAGGGGGCAAGCGUUAUCCGGAUUUACUGGGUGUAAAGGGUGCGUAGGUGGUAUGGCAAGUCAGAAGUGAAAACCCGGGGCUCAACCCCGCGGAUUGCUUUUGAAACUGUCAAACUAGAGUACAGGAGAGGUAAGCGGAAUUCCUAGUGUAGCGGUGAAAUGCGUAGAUAUUAGGAGGAACACCAGUGGCGAAGGCGGCUUACUGGACUGUAACUGACACUGAGGCACGGAAGCGUGGGGAGC
rnacentral:rRNA from 1 species